AGCUGGGGCCAUACCAUCCUGAGUGCGACCCAUCUCCUCUGAUCUCCGAAACGAAGCAGGGUCGGGCCAGGUUAGUACUGGCAUGGGAGACCGCCUGGGAAACCGGGUGCUGUAGGCC
ensembl:rRNA 5S_rRNA 5S ribosomal RNA